UCAGCUGGGCUGGAUUGGAUACAGGUGGUGCAUGGCUGUAGUCAGCUCGUGUCGUGAGAUGUUGGGUAAAGUCCCGCAACGAGCGCAACCCCUGCCUUUAGUUGCCAUCAUUAAGUUGGGCACUCUAGAGGGACUGCCGGUGAUAAGCCGGAGGAAGGCGGGGAUGACGUCAAGUCCUCAUGGCCCUUAUGGGCUGGGCUACACACGUGCUACAAUGGCAACCACAGUGGGCAGCAACGUCGCGAGGCGGAGCUAAUCUCCAAAAGUUGUCUCAGUUCGGAUUGUUCUCUGCAACUCGAGAGCAUGAAGGUGGAAUCGCUAGUAAUCGUAGAUCAGCAUGCUACGGUGAUACCGUUCCCGGGCCUUGUACACACCGCCCGUCACACCAUGGGAGUUGGUUCUACCCGAAGCCGGUGCGCUAACCCGGCAAGGAGGCA
rnacentral:rRNA from 1 species